UACGUAGGGGGCAAGCGUUGUCCGGAUUUAUUGGGCGUAAAGAGCGUGUGGGCGGUUUGGUAGGUCCGUUGUGAAAACUCGAGGCUCAACCUCGAGACGCCGAUGGAAACCAUCUGACUAGAGUCCGGAAGAGGAGAGUGGAAUUCCUGGUGUAGCGGUGAAAUGCGCAGAUAUCAGGAAGAACACCCGUGGCUAAGGCGGCUCUCUAGUACGGUACUGACGCUGAGACGCGAAAGCGUGGGGAGCGAACAGG
rnacentral:rRNA from 1 species